rnacentral:rRNA from 1 species
CAUGCAAGUCGAGCGAACAGACGAGGAGCUUGCUCCUCUGACGUUAGCGGCGGACGGGUGAGUAACACGUGGAUAACCUACCUAUAAGACUGGGAUAACUUCGGGAAACCGGAGCUAAUACCGGAUAACAUGUUGAACCGCAUGGUUCAACAGUGAAAGACGGUCUUGCUGUCACUUAUAGAUGGAUCCGCGCCGCAUUAGCUAGUUGGUAAGGUAACGGCUUACCAAGGCAACGAUGCGUAGCCGACCUGAGAGGGUGAUCGGCCACACUGGAACUGAGACACGGUCCAGACUCCUACGGGAGGCAGCAGUAGGGAAUCUUCCGCAAUGGGCGAAAGCCUGACGGAGCAACGCCGCGUGAGUGAUGAAGGUCUUCGGAUCGUAAAACUCUGUUAUUAGGGAAGAACAAAUGUGUAAGUAACUAUGCACGUCUUGACGGUACCUAAUCAGAAAGCCACGGCUAA